rnacentral:pre_miRNA from 1 species
GACCAUCCGUCUUAUAUGAAUUUUUUUUAUAAUUAGUAUUUGCAUUGUUGUUAGAUGAUAAAAUAUGAUUAAUACUUUAUGCGUGACUUAUCUUUUUAAUUUUUUCAAAUAAGACGGACGGUN